AAUCCAUGCACCAAAUAUUUCUGAAUUAAGUCUUUAAAUCAUUCCCAAGCUUCAUAUAGUGUUUCAUCCUCCAAUUGUCAAAAAGAUGUGAUGUCAUUUCUAAGCUU
rfam:Gossypium raimondii Chr03_contig_585, whole genome shotgun sequence.